AAAUUUGGUAACAGUAGGUAGGCAGCUAGUCAGUGUUCCAUUUCUGCAUUUUCCUUGCAUGGAUCAUGAUAUAGAGUAUUCUUGCUUUUUAAGUCUUCACUCUGAUUGUACCAGUUAAAGUAGUUUAAUUUUUACUGGAAUAUGCAUGUUGUUCCUUUUCUGCAACUUCAGUGUGUCUCUCUUCAGGUGAUUGGCAUUGAUUCUCAAUGGUCUGCAAAAUAAUAAAGAAUACAUUGUGCUUAUAUGAAAGUUGAGUCCUAAAUCUUCUUCCUCAAAAGCUUAUAUUCUUUUUUUAUCGAAAGAAAAAAAAAGAUUAUAUUCUCUUUGAAACAGCUGUAUAUUCGUAAUACCCAUAGAUGUUUGUCUGUAUCUCAGGCAUAACUCUUCUAUCUUUGGGUGGUGCUGUGUUGGUUUAGAACAUGUACUUUGACCCCAAAUGUUUUGAUUAUAAGGUGGUCAUAAAGUCAAACAGUUAAAUGUUGCUGAAUUUGCAUUGUCUGCUAACAUGCAUUAUGAAUGAAAGUAUGAAACAUGUUAGUUUAGAACUAACCCAUACACAAGCAUAUUAUGAUGAUAGUUUAGAACUAUCGUAAAAAGACAAGGUUGUGCAGUUCUGCUAAUACUCUUUGUUUCUUGUGUGUGUGUGUGUGUG
rnacentral:misc_RNA from 1 species